rnacentral:rRNA from 1 species
GACGAACGCUGGCGGCGUGCUUAACACAUGCAAGUCGAGCGAUGAAGCACCUUCGGGUGUGAAUUAGCGGCGAACGGGUGAGGAACACGUGAGAAAUCUGCCUUCAACACUGGGAUAACUCCGGGAAACCGGGGCUAAUACCGGAUAUGAAACCUGCGGGCAUCCGCGGGUUUGGAAAGUUUUUCGGUUGAAGAUGAUCUCGCGGCCUAUCAGCUUGUUGGUGAGGUAAUGGCUCACCAAGGCGACGACGGGUAGCCGGCCUGAGAGGGCGACCGGCCACACUGGGACUGAGACACGGCCCAGACUCCUACGGGAGGCAGCAGUGGGGAAUAUUGGGCAAUGGAGGAAACUCUGACCCAGCGACGCCGCGUGCGGGAUGAAGGCCUUCGGGUUGUAAACCGCUUUCAACAGGGAAGAAGCGAAAGUGACGGUACCUGCAGAAGAAGCACCGGCUAACUAUGUGCCAGCCGCCGCAGUAA